rnacentral:lncRNA from 1 species
GAUCCUUAACCAGAGAGCCAUGGAAGUCAGCAGAGUGGGACUUAAUGGAGGCAGAUGGAAGAUUAGAGCAAGACAGAUGGAGAGAGGAAGAGAGGGAGGGAGGAGGGAAAGGAGAGUGACAGAUUGGGAGGGAGGGGAGACUGAUAGCGGGUUUGUAGGCAUUGUUGUUGACGAUGGUCCUGAUAAGGCUCAUGCACUGCAUGUUGAAGUGCUCGAAGGCCCUCGCCAGCUGGCGUGACAGCUGGCUGGCAUGACAGCAAACUCUAAAGAGCGUUAGAUCAGCGGGAUGAACACACACGGGUGGACCUCCAGGAAAUCCAACAACUAGAGAGAGAGAGGGAGAGAGAGAGAAGAAGCGAGAGAGGGCUGAAAGAAUGGGAAGACAUGAAAGAGAGAAAUGGUGAAGGCAGAAAAAAGAGGAAACAAGAGAGUGAGGAAGAUGACAGAAAAUGAGAAGGGUAGGGAGAAGAUGACAGAAAAGGAGAAGGGUAGGGAGAAGAUGACAGAAAAUGAGAAGGGUAGGGAGAAGAUGACAGAAAAGGAGAAGGGUAGGGAGAAGAUGACAGAAAAGGAGAAGGGUAGGGAGAAGAUGACAGAAAAGGAUAAGGGUAAGGAGAAGAUGUCAUAAAAGGUGAAGAUGACAGAAAAGGAGAAGGGUAAGGAGAAAAUUACAGAAAAGGGGAAGGGUGGGAUGAAGAUGACAGAAAAGGAGAAGGGUAAGGAGAAAAUUCUUUUUUUAAGAAAGGGAAAUAACAAAAAAUACAGGAGGGGUGGAGAAGAGAGGAAGCCAGAAAAAAUACAGGAGGGGUGGAGAAGAGAGGAAGGUAGAAAGAGAAAUUAUGGUAGAACAGGAGAGAGAAAAGGUGAGAAAGUGUAGAAAAUAGAGAAAAUGGAGUAAGGCUGAUGUUGAAAUCAGUCUGUCAGUAGAGCCUGGUAUCCUGGUCUUCAAGCAAGACCAUUGAGGAACUAAGUAGUUGACAUUUGUAACACAUAGGCCUACAUGCUUGUCCGCUCAUCAGUGUGACUCACCACCUUACGAUAGUCUCGUCAAGCUUUCUCUCCACGUGCGCUGUCUGGGCCUACCUGCCGACCUGAAAGAACAACAUAUACUAUACUAUACAAAAGUAUGUGGACACCCCUUCAAAUUAGUUGAUUCGGCCACACCCGUUGCUGCCAGGUGUAUAAAAUCAAGCACACAGCCAUGCAAUCUCUCUAGACAAACAUUGGCAGUAGAAUGGCCUUACUGAAGAGCUGUGACUUUCAACAUGGCACCGUCAUAGGAUGCCACCUUUCCAAAAAAGUCACUUCAACAAAUUUCAGCCCUGCUAGAGCUUGUGAAGUGGAAAGUCAACUUGUGAAGUGGAAACGUCUAGGAGCAACAACGGCUCAGCCGCAAAGUGGUAGGCCACACAAGCAUACAGAAUGGGACCACCAAGUACUGAAGCGCGUAAAACUUGUCUAUCUGUGACGCCCUGGCCAUAGAGAGGGGUUUUUGUUCUUUAUUUUGGUUAGGCCAGGGUGUUACAUUGUGUGGGCGUUCUACGUUCAUUUUUCUAUGUUUUUGUAUUUCUUUGUUUUGGGCCGUGUGUGGCUCCCAAUCAGGCACAGCUGUAGUUCGUUGUUGCUGAUUGGGAGUCACACAUAAGGAGCCUGGUUUUCCUUUGGGUUUUUGUGGGUGAUUGUUUCUGCUUAGAGUUUUUCCUGACAGGACUGUUUGGCUGUCGUUUUUGUUUAUUUUUGUAAAGUGUUCUCUUUUCAUUAAAAUUCUAAUGAUGAACACAUCCUCCGCUGCACCUAGAUCUAAUUCUGACGACGGCCGUUACACUAUCCUCGAUUGCAACACUCACUACCGAGUUCCUAACUGCCUCUGAAAGCAACGUCAGCACAAUAACUAUUCGUCGGGAGCUUCAUGAAAUGGGUUUCCAUGACCGAGCAGCCGCACACAAGCUUAGGGUCACCAUGUGCAAUUCCAAGCUUUGGCUGGAGUAGUGUAAAGCUCGCCGCCGUUGGACUCUGGAGCAGUGAAAACAUGUACUCUGGAGUGAUUAAUCACGCAUCA